GACGAACCGUGCGAACGUUGUUCGGAAUCACUGGGCUUAAAGGGCGCGUAGGCGGGACGACAAGUCUGCGGUGAAAGCCCCCAGCUCAACUGGAGAAGUGCCGUGGAUACUGUCGUUCUCGAGGAGGGUAGGGGCAUCUGGAACGUUGGGUGGAGCGGUGAAGUGCGUUGAUAUCCAACGGAACUCCGGUGGCGAAGGCGAGGUGCUGGACCCUUUCUGACGCUGAGGCGCGAAAGCCAGGGGAGCGAACGGG
rnacentral:rRNA from 1 species